CUCGUCUCAAUAUAUUUAAAUGUGGAACAUUUCGUUUUAUAGGAGUGGGUGCUCGUAGUCUUCCUAAAAGUAACUAGCCACGGAUGAGGAUGCGCUUUACCAGCAUUGCCCUAUUUCAUGUUCUAGAGCCCGCGAGCUAAAUGGUCGCCAACGGGCAUGUGAAAGCACCGUCAUCGCUUCAGGUUAGCAGCAGUUUGUUCGUGGUUUGACCAGUGAUUUGUGUUGCGACAGCCAUGAAGGUCGUCGCUCUCCUCCUUGUGGUCUGCGUCUCCGUGGGCUGGGCGAAGCCUCUCUGCAUAGGCGGCAUCUGCAUUCCUACCAGCGAAGCUGCUGGGGGUGCCUCGGGCGAGGUCACCAGUGGUACAAGCAUUGGCCCUGGUGGUGUCACUAAGGUUUCGUCCGUCGUCGCCUCUGCAGGGGGAACGGCCAGAGGACCAUGUGCAAGCAGCUUCAAUACGGCAGCAGCCAAUAAAUUUAGCUCACAGACUAUCGUUGGCAAUACCGAUGAAGCCAACACGGAUGCCGUCUCAAUCCAACAAACCGGCUGCUGAAUGACUCAGCCACAGUCAUCUCGGCAUGCGCCGCAAUGGCACACAUGAAGCGCCUGUUACAUCCACGAACGUUGUGAUAUCGGCGUCGGUUGUGACAUGUGAUCGAAAUGUGCAAUACAGGCUUAUCCCCGACAUGACUGAUC